CAGGCCUCCCUCUGCUUGGUUCCAGUCGUGGGCAUGAGUGAGGGUCGAUGCUUGAUGGCUUUGAUGCUAUCGGUGGGAAUGUAUUUAAGCAUCGGCCUUCCCUCAUGCCCACGAUGGUCUACAGUCUUGGGUAUGAGUCAGUGACGAUGCUUGUUUGUUUAGAUGGUUGCGUUGGAACUUGCUUGUUUAGAUGCUUGCGUUAGAACUUGCUUGUUUAGAUGCUUGCGUUGGAACUUGCUUAAGCAACCUCAACCUAGUAGGGAUGUGUCCCUGCGCCCAACGACAUUUUUUGUCGGGAUCGUGGCAAGUCUGCGAUCCAGGGGGUGAUGUUGAGAGCCGGAAGGCAAGGGGGUGCAAACACCAGUCGGCCUUUGUCCCGAUUGCUGAGUGUUAUGUGCUUGAUGUCCAAGGCUUGAUGCUGAUCCUCCAAGUGGGGCUUGUCCCUGCACUAAUGGCUUUUGCCAGGAUCAUGGUGUUUGCUAUGAUCAAAAAAAUGAGGGGGUGAUGUUGAGAGCCGGAAGGCAAGGGGGUGCAAACACCAGUCGGCCUUUGUCCCGAUUGCUGAGUGUUAUGUGCUUGACGUCCAAGGCUUGAUGUUGACCCUCCAAGUGGGGCUUUUUUGUUCCUGCGGUAACGACUUUGUUGGGAUCAUUGUGAUCAAGUUUGGUUGGUUUCGUAUUGUGGUGGGUUUUUUCGAAGCUUCUAUCGUUGUUUUACGCAUCGUGCGGUGCAUCUUGGGGGCUGUUUUGGCUUUUGGUUGCUUGCUUGGGCUUUAUGCUAGGCGGGUGGCUAAU
rnacentral:misc_RNA from 1 species